AUCAGAAGUGCGAAUGCUGACAUAAGUAACGAUAAAGCGGGUGAAAAGCCCGCUCGCCGGAAGACCAAGGGUUCCUGUCCAACGUUAAUCGGGGCAGGGUGAGUCGACCCCUAAGGCGAGGCCGAAAGGCGUAGUCGAUGGGAAACAGGUUAAUAUUCCUGUACUUGGUGUUACUGCGAAGGGGGGACGGAGAAGGCUAUGUUAGCCGGGCGACGGUUGUCCCGGUUUAAGCAUGUAGGCUGGUUGUCCAGGCAAAUCCGGAUAAUCAAGGCUGAGGUGUGAUGACGAGGCACUACGGUGCUGAAGUAACAAAUGCCCUGCUUCCAGGAAAAG
rnacentral:rRNA from 1 species